CGGGAAACCGGAGCUAAUACCGAUAAUAUAUUGAACCGCAUGGUUCAAUAGUGAAAGACGGUUUUGCUGUCACUUAUAGAUGGAUCCGCGCCGCAUUAGCUAGUUGGUAAGGUAACGGCUUACCAAGGCAACGAUGCGUAGCCGACCUGAGAGGGUGAUCGGCCACACUGGAACUGAGACACGGUCCAGACUCCUACGGGAGGCAGCAGCA
rnacentral:rRNA from 1 species